ACGGAUGUAGCAAUACAUUAGUGGCGCACGGGUGCGUAACACGUAACUAAUCUACCUACAACUGGGGGAUAGCCCGCCGAAAGGCGGAUUAAUACCGCAUACCACUUGAUUUCGGCAUCGGGAUUUAGUGAAAGAUUUAUUGGUUGUAGAUGGGGUUGCGGGUCAUUAGCUAGUUGGCGAGGUAAAGGCUCACCAAGGCGACGAUGACUAGGGGAGCUGAGAGGCUGGUCCCCCACACGGGCACUGAGAUACGGGCCCGACUCCUACGGGAGGCAGCAGUGGGGAAUCUUGCGCAAUGGGCGAAAGCCUGACGCAGCGACGCCGCGUGAGUGAUGAAGGCCUUCGGGUUGUAAAGCUCUGUGGGGAGGGACGAAUAAGUGCUGGCUAACAUCCAGCGCGAUGACGGUACCUCUUUAGCAAGCACCGGCUAACUCUGUGCCAGCAGCCGCGGUAAU
rnacentral:rRNA from 1 species